GACGAACGCUGGCGGCGUGCUUAACACAUGCAAGUCGAACGGAAAGGCCCUGCUUUUGUGGGGUGCUCGAGUGGCGAACGGGUGAGUAACACGUGAGUAACCUGCCCUUGACUUUGGGAUAACUUCAGGAAACUGGGGCUAAUACCGGAUAGGAGCUCCUGCUGCAUGGUGGGGGUUGGAAAGUUUCGGCGGUUGGGGAUGGACUCGCGGCUUAUCAGCUUGUUGGUGGGGUAGUGGCUUACCAAGGCUUUGACGGGUAGCCGGCCUGAGAGGGUGACCGGCGACAGUGGGAAGGAGAUAGGGCCGGGAGGCGUACGGGAGGAGGAGGUGGGGAGGGGGGUAGAAGGGGCGGGGGCCUGAGGCAGCUACGCCGUGUGCGGAAUGACGGGGUUCGGGUGGGAAAAAGCUAUCGCCGGUGAAGAAGCGUGAGUGAGGGGAAUGGAUAAAGAAGCACCGGCUAGCUACGUG
rnacentral:rRNA from 1 species